AGCUCAGUUCUACUUAUGCAUUUUAUCAAACAGUUGAUCUGCCAAGAAUUAUCAAUCCUCAAUUCCUCAUUCCUCAAAAUCUCAAAUCAGACAAUUCUGAUUUAUGAAAGCAAUAUGAAAUAUGCAAACAAUUCAAGUAUUAAAUAGCCAUAUAGAGGAAAAACAACAAAAAUUGUCCAAAUUCACUAUCAACAUUCAACAACGAUUUCACACACACACACACAAAGAGAUUAAUUUAACAGACCAAGUCACCAACCUCCGAUCAAGUCUUAGCCAGUCUCGUGCAAUCAAUCAAGAGCUUGGACUGCGUCGGCGGUCGGGCAGCCCCUCGACGGGCGGAGUAGUCGAGGCGCAGACAGGCGCUGCCUACUGGCCGCGACGCUAAGGCGGUGGUGGUAGAGACGCGGAGGUUGGCGCGGGCGGAGACGGCCUGGGCACGACGGAGUGGAGAAGUCUGAAACAGGGUGAGGGAUGCCGCCUGUGGUGAUGACUGAAGCGGUGCCCCGGAGGCUGAGGUGGACGCGGAGGCGGCGGGAAUCCGGCGGCCAGGUGCGGCAGUGGAGCGACGACGAUGCUGGACGGCGGAGAUUUCGAUGGAUGGGUGGUGCAAUGAGGGAGACGUUGUGAGCGGCGCGGCCAGAGCUAGGGCAGAAUGUUCAA
rnacentral:lncRNA from 1 species